AAGGAGUGACAGCUUCCUGAGUGCAGUUCUAUUGCGAGUUCUUCAUUCUUUGGAGUGGAGGCUGUUGGAGAAUCUGCUGACUGAACCUGAGACUCUGUUCCUGGUGAGGCUGUUCUAAAAUCUUCUCCUUUCUACCAACAUCUUAUGAAGAAACUGAGGUCUAGGGUGGCUGCAAGGCUCUCUUACGAUCUUGUAAAUACUGAGUAACAAAGGCACCACUUGAACUCUGUCCUCUGAUUUUAGUCUCGGUGCUUUCUCCACCAUUCCAAGAAUGCAGUCAAGGAGGCCUUGCAGAGUGCUAGAGAAUCAGAGAGGCUAAUUCAUCAUGUCUAAGAAGAAGGAUCGUUUAAAACAAGAGGAAAUCUCAUUUGAUGAAUGGAAACUGAGCUAAGUGACUUGCCCAGGAUCACUCAGACAGAAAAUGUCAGAAGCCAAAUUUGAACUCAUGAAGAUGAGUCUUCUUUACUCCAGGUCUGGCACCCAGCCAACUGCGCCACCUACCUGCCAUUUUUCAAGAAUUCUAAUUUUUAACCUUCCAAUCCAAGCACCCUUGUAUCCUUUCCAUCUCCCCAUGAUUGGACAAAAGAUCAAGUUGGCCAGAUUUGAGAGUUCCUCGGUAGCUCAACAAAGCCUCCUGAUCAUUUCCUGUUCCCUACCUGUCUAGAUUCCUCACCUGCAUCUGGAUCAGAAGGUCUAAGGACGACUUUGUGCCUCCAAUGCUAACACCACCCAAUCCUGGUCCUUCUCCUUCCCGUGACACUAGCUGCUUGGUCAGAGAAAAGAGAAGCAGUCCAAAGGCAGAGGGGCUCUAGUCCUCCUCCACCCCAUGUGAUGGAACCAGCUAGAACCCCACGGGAACUGACUGCUAAUUUAAACUAUAAGCAUUUAUACCUUGGAAAUCGGCAGAGGUUGGAUUUAUUGUUUUGUUGUGUGUCUAGAAAGUGAUGGAGAAAUUUUUGACACUGUAGAUUAAAUUUAAAAAUGUGUUGGGCAUGGCUUUUUUCUUUUCUGGAGAGCCAACAAGUAAACUUUUCCUAGCACACCCUGGCCCAGCAGAGUUCUGCAAGUCUGAGCUGCAGUGACAUGCCAGGAUGCCCAGUGGUUGGCUAAAAGGGGAGGAGAGGGACGGGGUCAUAAAAUAGCCCAGAAUAUCUCAGACUCCUCAGGUGGGAAAGGCAGCAGUUUCACUGCUCUCUCAGGACAGUAAGAAAUAAAUAUCCAUCCUCACCCUGCCCUUUCUGGUCC
rnacentral:lncRNA from 1 species